AGUGAACGCUGGCGGUAGGCCUAACACAUGCAAGUCGAACGGCAGCACAGUAAGAGCUUGCUCUUACGGGUGGCGAGUGGCGGACGGGUGAGGAAUACAUCGGAAUCUACUUUUUCGUGGGGGAUAACGUAGGGAAACUUACGCUAAUACCGCAUACGACCUACGGGUGAAAGCAGGGGAUCUUCGGACCUUUCGCGAUUGAAUGAGCCGAUGUCGGAUUAGCUAGUUGGCGGGGUAAAGUCCCACCAAGGCGACGAUCCGUAGCUGGUCUGAGAGGAUGAUCAGCCAAACUGGAACUGAGACACGGUCCAGACUCCUACGGGAGGCAGCAGUGGGGAAUAUUGGAAAAUGGGCGCAAGCCUGAUCCAGACAUACCGCGUGGGUGAAGAAGGCCUUCGGGUUGUAAAGCCCUUUUGUUGGGAAAGAAAAGCAGCAGGUUAAUACCCCGCUGUUCUGACGGUACCAAAAGAAAAGCACCGGCUAACUUCGUG
rnacentral:rRNA from 1 species